UACGUAGGGGGCAAGCGUUGUCCGGAAUCAUUGGGCGUAAAGAGCGUGUAGGCGGCCCGAUAAGUCCGCUGUGAAAGUCCAGGGCUCAACCCUGGAAUGCCGGUGGAUACUGUCGGGCUCGAAUCCGGAAGAGGUGAGUGGAAUUCCUGGUGUAGCGGUGAAAUGCGCAGAUAUCAGGAGGAACACCAAUGGCGAAGGCAGCUCGCUGGAACGGUACUGACGCUGAGGCGCGAAAGCGUGGGGAGCGAACAGG
rnacentral:rRNA from 1 species